rnacentral:ncRNA from 17 species
UUUUCAAAAACAAUUGGAGCUAUCGGCUGUUAACCGAUCGGUCGUAGGUUCGAGUCCUACCUGCGGAGCCA